ACUCCUACGGGAGGCAGCAGUGGGGAAUAUUGCACAAUGGGCGCAAGCCUGAUGCAGCAACGCCGUGUGAGUGAAGAAGGUUUUCGGAUCGUAAAACUCUGUCCUAAGGGAAGAAAAAAUAGACGGUACCUUAGGAGGAAGCCCGGCCUAACUACGUGCCAGCAGCCGCGGUAAUAACGUAGGGGCGAAGCGUUAUCCGGAAUCACUGGGCGUAAAGGGUGCGUAGGCGGCUUAGCAAGCCAGGGGUGAAAGGCAUUGGCUCAACCAAUGUAAGCCUUUGGAACUGUUAAGCUUGAGUGCAGGAGAGGUAAGUGGAAUUCCUAGUGUAGAGGUGAAAUUCGUAGAUAUUAGGAGGAACACCAGUGGCGAAGGCGACUUACUGGACUGUAACUGACGCUGAUGCACGAAAGCGUGGGUAGCGAACAGGAUUAGAUACCCUGGUAGGUCAGUC
rnacentral:rRNA from 1 species